rnacentral:tRNA from 1 species
GCGGUGGUGCGACAGGCCGAGAUUGCCGGCCUGCGCCGCCGCCGGCGCUGCCGCGAGCAGCAUCGCGGUUCCGACCGCGACGCCGCUC